AGAGAACCUAGACUGGGAAUGUAAAAACCAGUUUCAUCAAUGGGGAGCUUCAGUUGUACGACAGGUGUCGUAGUGAAAGGUAGUGACCCGUUUCGUCUGCUGAGUUACUACAAAACACCAGAAAGAAAAGUUAAGGAAGUCGUUAGGAAUCCUUUAUUACUUUUACGAGAUGAGGUGACCUGAAACAGCUGAUUUUGGAAACGUGAAAAACUUCUUAGGGCUCAAACAUGGAAGGAACUGACCAUAAUCCACCUGACAGAGAGCUGGGAGCUUCCAAACUGUGCAUCGGAAAUAUUUAGGAAUGAAAGCUUCAUGAACUGAUAGUGUUCAAGGUUACCACAUUAUUGGCCUUUUGAGGGGCUAGGCGUGGAAUGUGACAUUGUUCCCAGAGGGUUUUAUGCAUGUAGAAGUUAAUUCUACACGUGGAAGGGAUAUAAGCAAGGAGGUGGAUGGAAAUAGAAGAGGAAGAAGGACAGAGUUCAGAUGGAAAGACGAAUAACAAAUGACAUACGGGAGAAAGGUUUAAGAAGACAGGAUACACUGGACAGAGGAAGGUGGAGAAGGCGACCCCAUAUUGAAGAAGAAGAAGAAGAAGUAGAAGAAGAAGAAGAAGAAGAAAAUUAUUCAAGCUGGCCAUCUGCAAGACAGGACGUGUUGUAUAGCUCUUUUAUUUUGGGACUAAACAUGUUUUGAUGACACCUCUUGGGUCUCUGACAUUCACAUACGUUUGAAAAGGAGUAUUUAGAAUAAUUUUAUCAUCUGAUAAAAUGAUAGACUAUAGAAAUGGAGGCAAUAUUCGAAAAUGAGUUAAUGAUAUAGCCAAUGUAACACUAAGGAAUUUUGGCCUUGAGGUAAAUAUUACUUAUAAGUGACCCAUUUAUUGCAUAUUUAAUUAUGCUUUUAAGGGUGUAGUACAUACUUCAUUUCUUUAUAAGUAUUACAACUUAGGUACAGAACAGGAUAUGAUGUGGCAUUAUGAAUGGGAAUAGAUUUUGCUUUAAACGAUUGUUAAAUUGCAAAACAUUACGCAUGAUAAUUAGUCUGGGGUAUUCUAUAGAAACUGUACCCUGGGAUUUUUUCAAACUGAAUUUGAUGUUUUUAAUGUUCUGAAUCAGCCGAAAAUAGAUAAGGCUUUAGAUAAUGCACAGUUGAAUUUUUGCUUUGAAAGUAUAAGAUCUGCAGUACUGAAUCAUCAAUGAUAUAUCUUGUUUGUGCGACUAGACAUAACGUAAUUAAAAUCAAUAUGGCUUUGGCUUAGUUUUGUCAAAUAUAACAAGAGGCACGGUUA